rnacentral:rRNA from 1 species
CGCGAAUGGCUCAUUACAACAGCUAUAAUUUACUUGAUCUUGACAAUCCUACUUGGAUAACUGUGGUAAUUCUAGAGCUAAUACAUGCACCAAAGCUCUGACCUUACGGGAAGAGUGCAUUUAUUAGAACAAAACCAAGCGGCUCCGGUCGUUUUUUGUUGACUCAGAAUAACUAAGCUGAUCGCAUGGUCUUGUACCGGCGACGUGUCUUUCAAGUAUCUGCCUUAUCAACUUUCGAUGGUAGUGUAUCUGACUACCAUGGUUGUGACGGGUAACGGAGGAUAAGGGUUCGACUCCGGAGAAGGGGCCUGAGAAAUGGCCACUACGUCUAAGGAUGGCAGCAGGCGCGCAAAUUACCCACUCUCAGAACGAGGAGGUAGUGACGAGAAAUAACGAGACCGUUCUCUACGAGGCCGGUCAUCGGAAUGGGUACAAUCUAAACCCUUUAACGAGUAUCUAUGAGAGGGCAAGUCUGGUGCCAGCAGCCGCGGUAAUUCCAGCU